rnacentral:rRNA from 1 species
UAACGAAUCUUCCACAAUGCACGAAAGUGUGAUGGAGCGACGCCGCGUGCUGGAUGAAGUUCUUCGGAAUGUAAACAGCUGUCAGGGGUAAGAUCUACCCAGAGGAAGUAGCGACUAACUCUGUGCCAGCAGUCGCGUAAUACAGAGGCUACGAGCGUUAGGCGGAAUCACUGGGCUUAAAGCGCGUGUAGGCGGUUUGGCAAGUACCUUGUGAAAUCCCACGGCUCAACCGUGGAACUGCUUGGUAUACUGCCCGACUUGAGGUGCUCAGGGGCAACCGGAACGGAUGGUGGAGCGGUGAAAUGCGUAGAUAUCAUCCGGAACGCCUGUGGUGAAGACGGGUUGCUGGGGGCAUUCUGACGCUGAGACGCGAAAGCCAGGGGAGCAAAC